rnacentral:lncRNA from 1 species
GUGUGAUAAGUGCUAAAUAAUGUACAAAUUUAUCUAUUUUACAUAGCACUUAUUAUUAUUGUUAUGCACAUAUUUUAAAUAUUAACAGAAGAAAAUGUGUUUCCCCUCUCAUUUCAUUUUAAUAAAUUAUUAGAGGUAAUUCAAGUUUGGUUUAAUUUUCUAUAUUGAUUUAGUCUAAUGUGUGUGCAGGUCGAGUCACCCCAUUCACGAAUUAGUCCCAAUCAGUUCCAUGUGUGGAUUGCUUUCUUCCCCAUUUGCAUGAAGU